rnacentral:rRNA from 1 species
GGAAUUUUGGGCAAUGGGCGAAAGCCUGACCCAGCAACGCCGCGUGAAGGAUGAAGUAUUUCGGUAUGUAAACUUCGUAAGAAUAGGAAGAAUCAAUGACGGUACUAUUUGUAAGCUCCGGCUAACUACGUGCCAGCAGCCGCGGUAAUACGUAGGGGGCAAGCGUUGUUCGGAUUUACUGGGCGUAAAGGGCGCGUAGGCGGCGUGACAAGUCACUUGUGAAAUCUCCGGACUUAACUCGGAACGGUCAAGUGAUACUGUCGUGCUAGAGUGCAGAAAGGGCAACUGGAAUUCUUGGUGUAGCGGUGAAAUGCGUAGAUAUCAAGAGGAACACCAGAGGCGAAGGCGAGUUGCUAGGCUGACACUGACGCUGAGGCGCGAAAGCUAGGGGAGCGAAC